AAAGCCAACUUUUUUUUACUGCUGAACCCAAAGAAUUUACUGGAAUUUUGACCCAAGCAGGCUGUGGAGACUUCCUGCUAUGGUUAGAUGCCUUCCUCUUGUGAUACCUACUUAUGAGUUAUUUCUCCUUGAGCAAUAUACAUGCCUUGAAUGCCUCCUGGUUCAAUGGACAUGCUUGGAAGCACAGAAGCAACCUGUCACCUGUGUCUUUAGUACGGGCAACUCCCUGACAUGGAGCCUGCAAAAUCAGCAGAAAAUGGCCCAAAUGCUUGGUGCCCUGCACCUACAUCGAUGAUCUGGAUGGAUGGAGCCCCAAGCUCCUGGCUUUAGCCUUGGCCAGCCCCCAGCAUUACCUACUGAUGUGUUAAGACCAGUCUGGACUUUUAGAAUCCAAGCUGCGUACUUACAGGAAACUCCAGAUUAAUCAACUAUCUGAGAAGUCAACCAAAAUCAGUUCAGAAUUCUACCAACAGGCUACAAACUCUGUCCAACAUUGCCUUCUAGGAAGACUGUAAAAUGUUUCUCCAGAUUAAACAAUUUACGAAUGAGUUUACUCCUAGCAGUAAUUUUAUGGAAAAUGAUUCAAUCUCCUUGGUGAGUUAAGUUAAAGGAAUAAAGCUCCGAUUAUGC